UGAGAAACCAUGUCCACGUAGGAUUCAACACGAGCGUCCAAAGAGAAGGGAAAAAUUGCUUCGGCGGAGAGAGGAUGGAGGAGCAGGAGAACAUUACGAGUCGAGCGACCUCUAAAAGGGCGUCGAAGUUGAUCGACUUCAAUUCGUGUUUGGUUGCUGAGAAAUUGGUGGAAAAGCAAAUAAAGAUGAAUUUCAGAGUUGAGUCUACAGACAAAAGAUAAUUUGUUUUAAUUAGUUCAGUUCAGUUCAGUCUCCCUUUUGUCCGGGAAAGAAGAAAAAAAAAAAACUGAGAUUCCGAAGACAGUUUUCCUUUUGGUCCACUAAUCGGGAACCAGACAAGAUUCAGGUAGAAAUAGCUCGGGUUUUUUUCUAUUUUAGUUUAGCAAAAUGAGCUGUUCUUGAGCUUACUUUUUGAAAUGUGCUUCGGUUUCAUUUAUGAUGUAGUCUUUUGAUAUUAGUUUUGUUGAUUAAUGCGAGGAAUGCCUUAUAGAUUUCACUUUUUAUUACUGAUUUGUAAGUUAAUCCAGUGAUAGGUUUUGUUUUGAUUA